GAUGAAGAACGCAGCAAAAUGCGAUAAGUAAUGUGAAUUGCAGAAUUCAGUGAAUCAUCGAAUCUUUGAACGCACAUUGCGCCCGCCAGUAUUCUGGCGGGCAUGCCUGUCCGAGCGUCAUUUCAACCCUCAAGCACAGCUUGGUGUUGGGACUCGCGUUAAUUCGCGUUCCCCAAAUUGAUUGGCGGUCACGUCGAGCUUCCAUAGCGUAGUAGUAAAACCCUCGUUACUGGUAAUCGUCGCGGCCACGCCGUUAAACCCCAACUUCUGAAUGUUGACCUCGGAUCAUGUAGGAAUACCCGCUGAACUUAAGCAUAUCAAUAAGCGGAGGA
rnacentral:misc_RNA from 1 species